UACGGGGGGGGCAAGCGUUGUUCGGAAUUACUGGGCGUAAAGGGCUCGUAGGCGGCCAACUAAGUCGGACGUGAAAUCCCUCGGCUUAACCGGGGAACUGCGUCCGAUACUGGAUGGCUUGAGUUUGGAGAGGGAUGCGGAAUUCCAGGUGUAGCGGUGAAAUGCGUAGAUAUCGGGAGGAACACCUGUGGCGAAAGCGGCGCACUGGACCACAACUGACGCUGAGGCGCGAAAGCUAGGGGAGCAAACAGG
rnacentral:rRNA from 1 species